rnacentral:pre_miRNA from 1 species
CUUGUACUCCCUUCGUCCGAAAAUACUUGUCAUUGAAAUGGAUGUAUCUAGAUGUAUUUUAGUUCUAGACACAUCCAUUUUGAUGACAUGUAAUUCCGGACGGAGGGAGUACUUG